AAUGAUACCCGGGUAGUCCAUGCCGUAAACGUUGGGCACUAGGUGUGGGGGCUCAUUCCACGAGUUCCGUGCCGCAGCAAACGCAUUAAGUGCCCCGCCUGGGGAGUACGGCCGCAAGGCUAAAACUCAAAGGAAUUGACGGGGGCCCGCACAAGCGGCGGAGCAUGCGGAUUAAUUCGAUGCAACGCGAAGAACCUUACCAAGGCUUGACAUGCACGGGAAGCCACCAGAGAUGGUGGUCUCUUUGGACACUCGUGCACAGGUGGUGCAUGGUUGUCGUCAGCUCGUGUCGUGAGAUGUUGGGUUAAGUCCCGCAACGAGCGCAACCCUGUCCCAUGUUGCCAGCGGGUUAUGCCGGGGACUCAUGGGAGACUGCCGGGGUCAACUCGGAGGAAGGUGGGGAUGACGUCAAAUCAUCAUGCCCCUUAUGUCUUGGGCUUCACGCAUGCUACAAUGGCCGGUACAAAGGGCUGCGAUACCGUAAGGUGGAGCGAAUCCCAAAAAGCCGGUCUCAGUUCGGAUUGGGGU
rnacentral:rRNA from 1 species